rnacentral:rRNA from 1 species
AGAGUUUGAUCAUGGCUCAGGAUGAACGCUGGCGGCGUGCCUAAUACAUGCAAGUCGAACGGAAGUAGCAAUACUUUAGUGGCGAACGGGUGAGUAACACAUGAGUAAUCUGCCUUUUAGUUUGGGAUAACUAAAGGAAACUUUAGCUAAUACCGGAUAUAUUCUUAUGAUUAAUUUUAUUUGAAGGAAAGGAGCUUUUGCUUCGCUAAUUGAUGAGCUUGUGUCGCAUUAGUUUGUUGGUGAGAUAAAAGCCCACCAAGACUAUGAUGCGUAGCCGGCCUGAGAGGGUGAUCGGCCACAUUGGAACUGAGAUACGGUCCAAACUCCUACGGGAGGCAGCAGUAGGGAAUUUUUGGCAAUGAGGGAAACCUUGACCAAGCAACGCCGCGUGAAUGAUGAAGGUCUUAGGAUUGUAAAAUUCUGUUGUAAGGGAAGAAAUGUAAUUAUAGGUAAUGAUAAUUAUUUGACUGUACCUUAUUAGAAAGUCACGGCUAACUACGUGCCAGCAGCCGCGGUAAUACGUAGGUGACAAGCGUUAUCCGGAAUUAUUGGGCGUAAAGAGUGAGCAGGUGGCAGAUAAAGUUUAAAGUGAAAUUUUGAGGCUUAACCUCAUUAAGCUUUAAAAACUAAUCAGCUAGAGUAUCAAAGAGGUAAACGGAAUUCCAUGUGUAGCGGUGAAAUGCGUAGAUAUAUGGAGGAACACCAGUGGCGAAGGCGGUUUACUACUAAAAUACUGACACUCAGUCACGAAAGCGUAGGGAGCAAAUAGGAUUAGAUAUCCUAGUAGUCUACGCCGUAAACUUUGAUAACUAAACAUUUCUGAAUAAGAUGUGUUGAAGCUAACGCGUUAAGUUAUCCGCCUGGGUAGUACGAUCGCAAGAUUGAAACUUAAAGGAAUUGACGGGAUCCCGCACAAGCAGUGGAGCAUGUGGUUUAAUUCGACGAUACACGAAGAACCUUACCAGGGCUUGACAUGGAAGUAAAGUGCUUAGAAAUAAGAAGAUAGUUAUACUUCACACAGGUGGUGCAUGGUUGUCGUCAGCUCGUGUCGUGAGAUGUCGGGUUAAGUCCCGUAACGAGCGCAACCCUUGCCUUUAGUUGCUAAUAUUUAGUUAAGAACUCUAAAGGGACUGCUGAUGUAAAUCGGAGGAAGGUGGGGAUGACGUCAAAUCAUCAUGCCCCUUAUGUCCUGGGCGACACACGUGCUACAAUGGCCAAUACAAAAAGUUGCAAAAUCGUGAGAUUUAGCUAAUCUUUUAAAAUUGGUCUUAGUUCGGAUUGAAGUCUGCAACUCGACUUCAUGAAGCUGGAAUUGCUAGUAAUCGCAGAUCAGCCAUGCAGCGGUGAAUACGUUCUCGGGGUUUGUACACACCGCCCGUCAAAUCAUGAGAACUGGUAAUACUCUAAAUCGUUAUCUUAACCGAAAGGAUGGAAACGCAUAAAGUAAGACUGGUGAUUAGGGUUAAGUCGUAACAAGGUAGCC